rnacentral:rRNA from 1 species
UACGUAGGGUGCGAGCGUUAAUCGGAAUUACUGGGCGUAAAGCGUGCGCAGGCGGUUUUGUAAGCCAGAUGUGAAAUCCCCGGGCUCAACCUGGGAACUGCAUUUGGGACUGCAAGGCUUGAGUACGGCAGAGGGGGGUAGAAUUCCUGGUGUAGCAGUGAAAUGCGUAGAUAUCAGGAGGAAUACCGAUGGCGAAGGCAGCCCCCUGGGUCGAUACUGACGCUCAUGCACGAAGGCGUGGGGAGCAAACAGG